AGAUUGAACGCUGGCGGCAGGCCUAACACAUGCAAGUCGAGCGGUAGAGAGGUGCUUGCACCUCUUGAGAGCGGCGGACGGGUGAGUAAUGCCUAGGAAUCUACCUAGUGGUGGGGGAUAACGUUCGGAAACGGACGCUAAUACCGCAUACGUCCUACGGGAGAAAGCGGGGGACCUUCGGGCCUCGCGCCAUUAGAUGAGCCUAGGUCGGAUUAGCUAGUUGGUGAGGUAAUGGCUCACCAAGGCGACGAUCCGUAACUGGUCUGAGAGGAUGAUCAGUCACACUGGAACUGAGACACGGUCCAGACUCCUACGGGAGGCAGCAGUGGGAAUAUUGGACAAUGGGCGAAAGCCUGAUCCAGCCAUGCCGCGUGUGUGAAGAAGGUCUUCGGAUUGUAAAGCACGUUUAAGUGGAGAAGGUUGUAACUUAAUACGUUGCUAAUUUGACGUUACCGACAGAAUAAGCACCGCUAACUCGUGCCAGCAGCCU
rnacentral:rRNA from 1 species